rnacentral:rRNA from 1 species
ACGGAGAGUUUGAUCCUGGCUCAGGAUGAACGCUAGCGACAGGCUUAACACAUGCAAGUCGAGGGGCAGCGGGUAGAUGAGCUUGCUCAUUUAUGCCGGCGACCGGCGCACGGGUGAGUAACACGUAUGCAACCUGCCCGUCUCAGGGGGAUAAUCGUCGGAAACGGCGUCUAAUACCCCGUAUGAAGCUGGACGGCAUCGUCUGGUUUUGAAAGAAUAUCGGAGACGGAUGGGCAUGCGGCGCAUUAGCUGGUUGGCGGGGUAACGGCCCACCAAGGCAACGAUGCGUAGGGGUUCUGAGAGGAAGGUCCCCCACACUGGUACUGAGACACGGACCAGACUCCUACGGGAGGCAGCAGUGAGGAAUAUUGGUCAAUGGGCGAGAGCCUGAACCAGCCAAGUCGCGUGAGGGAGUACUGCCCUAUGGGUUGUAAACCUCUUUUGUCGGGGAGCAAAAGCCGGACGUGUCCGUCUGUGAGAGUACCCGAAGAAAAAGCAUCGGCUAACUCCGUGCCAGCAGCCGCGGUAAUACGGAGGAUGCGAGCGUUAUCCGGAUUUAUUGGGUUUAAAGGGUGCGCAGGCGGAUUUUUAAGUCAGCGGUCAAAUCGUGGGGCUCAACCCCAUCCAGCCGUUGAAACUGGGGAUCUAGAGUGUGCGAGAGGUAUGCGGAAUGCGUGGUGUAGCGGUGAAAUGCAUAGAUAUCACGCAGAACCCCGAUUGCGAAGGCAGCAUACCGGUGCACAACUGACGCUCAGGCACGAAAGCGUGGGUAUCGAACAGGAUUAGAUACCCUGGUAGUCCACGCAGUAAACGAUGAAUGCUACCUGUUUGGCCAGAUUGAUGGCUGAGCGGGACAGCGAAAGCGUUAAGCAUUCCACCUGGGGAGUACGCCGGCAACGGUGAAACUCAAAGGAAUUGACGGGGGCCCGCACAAGCGGAGGAACAUGUGGUUUAAUUCGAUGAUACGCGAGGAACCUUACCCGGGCUCAAACGCAUAAUGACGACAGUUGAAAGAUUGUUUCCCUUCGGGGCAUUAUGCGAGGUGCUGCAUGGUUGUCGUCAGCUCGUGCCGUGAGGUGUCGGCUUAAGUGCCAUAACGAGCGCAACCCCUAUCGACAGUUGCUAACGAGUAGAGUCGAGGACUCUGUCGAGACUGCCGGCGCAAGCUGUGAGGAAGGCGGGGAUGACGUCAAAUCAGCACGGCCCUUACGUCCGGGGCGACACACGUGUUACAAUGGCAGGGACAGCGGGAAGCCACCAAGCGAUUGGGCGCGGAACCCGAAACCCUGUCUCAGUUCGGAUUGGAGUCUGCAACUCGACUCCAUGAAGCUGGAUUCGCUAGUAAUCGCGCAUCAGCCAUGGCGCGGUGAAUACGUUCCCGGGCCUUGUACACACCGCCCGUCAAGCCAUGGGAGUCGGGAGUGCCUGAAGUUCGUGACCGUAUAGGAGCGACCUAGGGCAAGACUGAUGACUGGGGCUAAGUCGUAACAAGGUAGCCGUACCGGAAGGUGCGGCUGGAACACCUCCUUU